rnacentral:rRNA from 1 species
GAUACCCUAUUAUAUUUAAAUUAAUUAAGGUAGUACUAAUUUAUUAGAAAACCUAUGCAGUUUGGCGGCAUUAAAUCAUUUUAGAGGAACCUGCCUUUUAAUCGAUACCCCACGGUAAAUCUUACUUUUAUUUACAUUUUAUAUACCACCAUCUUAAGGAUUAAUAAAUACAUUCUUCCCUAAAAAGUAUCCUAAUAAGUUAGGUAAAGGUGUAGACUAUAUAAAAGUUAAGGUGGGUUACAAUAAAUUUCAUUUAAGGACUUUAAAUAAAAUUUUACUUCGAAAAAGGAUUUAGUAGUAAUAUAAAAAUAAUAUUUUUAUAUGAAUAUGAUAAACAAUGUGCACACAUC